rnacentral:rRNA from 1 species
CAGCCGCCGCGGUAAUACGUAGGGUGCAAGCGUUAAUCGGAAUUACUGGGCGUAAAGCGUGCGCAGGCGGUUAUAUAAGACAGAUGUGAAAUCCCCGGGCUCAACCUGGGAACUGCAUUUGUGACUGUAUAGCUAGAGUACGGCAGAGGGGGAUGGAAUUCCGCGUGUAGCAGUGAAAUGCGUAGAUAUGCGGAGGAACACCGAUGGCGAAGGCAAUCCCCUGGGCCUGUACUGACGCUCAUGCACGAAAGCGUGGGGAGCAAACAGGAUUAGAGCCCCGGUAGUCCCUGUCUCUUAUACA